CACGCCGCGUGAGUGAUGAAGGCUUUCGUGGUCGUAAAGCUCUGUUGUCUAAGGAAGAACCAUACGCUAGAUUAAUACUCUUGGCUCCUGGACGUUACUCACACAAAAAGCCCCGGCUAACUCUGUGCCAGCAGCCGCGGUAAUACAGAGGUGGCGAGCGUUAUCCGGAUUUACUGGGCGUAAAGCGUGCGCAGGCGGCUUUUUAAGUCGGAUGUGAAAUCCCUGAGCUUAACUUAGGAAUUGCAUUCGAUACUGGGAAGCUAGAGUAUGGGAGAGGAUGGUAGAAUUCCAGGUGUAGCGGUGAAAUGCGUAGAGAUCUGGAGGAAUACCGAUGGCGAAGGCAGCCAUCUGGCCUAAUACUGACGCUGAGGUACGAAAGCAUGGGGAGCAAACAGGAUUAGAUACCCUGGUAGUCCAUGCCGUAAACGAUGUCUACUAGCCGUUGGGGCCUUUGAGGCUUUAGUGGCGCAGCUAACGCGAUAAGUAGACCGCCUGGGGAGUACGGUCGCAAGACUAAAACUCAAAUGAAUUGACGGGGGCCCGCACAAGCGGUGGAGCAUGUGGUUUAAUUCGAUGCAACGCGAAGAACCUUACCUGGUCUUGACAUAGUAAGAACUUUCCAGAGAUGGAUUGGUGCCUUCGGGAACUUACAUACAGGUGCUGCAUGGCUGUCGUCAGCUCGUGUCGUGAGAUGUUGGGUUAAGUCCCGCAACGAGCGCAACCCUUUUCCUUAUUUGCCAGCGGGUUAAGCCGGGAACUUUAAGGAUACUGCCAGUGACAAACUGGAAGAAGGCGGGGACGACGUCAAGUCAUCAUGGCCCUUACGACCAGGGCUACACACGUGCUACAAUGGUCGGUACAAAGGGUUGCUACCUACCGAUAGGAUGCUAAUCUCAAAAAGCCGAUCGUAUCCCGGAUUGGAGUCUGCAACUCCACCUCCAUGAAGUCAGAUUCCUAAUAUCGCGGAUCAAAAUGCC
rnacentral:rRNA from 1 species